rnacentral:lncRNA from 1 species
UCCCCAAGGCCACCCCAGAUGUCACCAAGGUCCCCUCAGAAGUCCCAGAUGUCCCCAAGGCCACCUGAGGUGUCCCCAAGGCCACCCCAGAUGUCCCCAAUGCCCUCUCAGAAGUCCCAGAUGUCCCCAAGGCCACCCCUGGUGUCCCCAGAUGUCCCCAAAGCCACCUCAGAUGUCCCCAAGGUCCUCUCAGAAGUCCCAGAUGUCCCCAAGGCCACCCCAGAUGUCCCCAAGGCCACCUCAGGUGUCCCCAAGGCCACCCCAGAUGUCCCAGAUGUCCCCAAGGCCACCUGAUGUGUCCCCAGAUGUCCCCAAGGCCACCCCAGGUGUCCCCAAGGCCACCCCAAUGUCCCCUCAGAAGUCCCAGAUGUCCCCAAGCCCCCCCAGAUGUCCUCAACUGUCCCCAAGGCCACCUCAGAUGUCCCCAAGGCCACCCCUGGUGUCCCCUCAGAAGUCCCAGAUGUCCCCAAGGCCACCCCGGGUGUCCCCAGGCCCCGUCCGGCCGUGGCCGAAGCCCCUCAGGCGUCGCCGCUCGCAGCGUCCGGCCCGGCCCUGCAGCUCCACCUGCACCGGCCGGGCCUGGUGGCCACCGUGGCCACCGAGAGCCUGGCCC